GAUGAACGCUGGCGGCGUGCCUAAUACAUGCAAGUCGAGCGAACAGACGAGGAGCUUGCUCCUCUGACGUUAGCGGCGGACGGGUGGGUAACACGUGGAUAACCUACCUAUAAGACUGGGAUAACUUCGGGAAACCGGAGCUAAUACCGGAUAAUAUAUUUAACCGCAUGGUUCAAUAGUGAAAGACGGUUUUGCUGUCACUUAUAGAUGGAUCCGCGCCGCAUUAGCUAGUUGGUAAGGUAACGGCUUACCAAGGCAACGAUGCGUAGCCGACCUGAGAGGGUGAUCGGCCACACUGGAACUGAGACACGGUCAAGACUCCUACGGGAGGCAGCAGUGGGGAAUCUUCCGCAAUGGGCGAAAGCUUGACGGAGCAACGCCGCGUGAGUGAUGAAGGUCUUCGGAUCGUAAAACUCUGUUAUUAGGGAAGAACAAAUGUGUAAGUAACUAUGCACGUCUUGACGGUACCUAAUCAGAAAGCCACGGCUAACUACGUG
rnacentral:rRNA from 1 species